GACUCAGAAUAGGACACAGGAUGUGGCCACAGCAGCACAUAAACCCUCAGUCACUGCUGAGGAGAAGAACCAAAGGGAGGAUCAAGAUGUUAAAGAAGAACAAGAAAAGGAGCAGCCUGCCAUUGAUAACUCAGAGCCAGCCAGAGAUGGUGCGACACCACAGGACCCAUCACAUAACACUGCCAGCCCAACCACACUGCAAAAAGAAGCCACACCUUCUUCAACCAGUCAGACUUUCUCAGUUGGCGAAUCAGUCACAAGCAGGAACCCACAAGUCACAGAGACUUGUAAGAAGGAAGAGAGGCUACCUACAGAAGCUUCUGAAAAUGAGGCGGCUGCUAGAUCAAACCUGUCAGUUUCCA